CGAAAGCCUGACGGAGCAACGCCGCGUGUGGGAAGAAGGCUCUUGGGCUGUCAACCACUUUUCUCAGGGAAGAAGACCUGACGGUACCUGAGGAAUCAGCCUCGGCUAACUCCGUGCCAGCAGCCGCGGUAAUACGGAGGAGGCAAGCGUUAUCCGGAAUUAUUGGGCGUAAAGCGUCCGCAGGGGGCUCAUCAAGUCUGCUGUCAAAGGUCGGAGCUCAACUCCGGUUCGGCAGUGGAAACUGGUGGGCUAGAGGGCGACAGGGGUAGAGGGAAUUCCCAGUGUAGCGGUGAAAUGCGUAGAGAUUGGGAAGAACACCGGUGGCGAAAGCGCUCUACUGGGCCGUGACUGACCCUGAGGGACGAAAGCUAGGGGAGCG
rnacentral:rRNA from 1 species